rnacentral:tRNA from 1 species
GCUCUCAUAGCUCAAUGGAUCGAGUGCCGGUUUCCGAAACCGUCGAUGCAGGUUCGAUUCCUGCUGGGAGCA